GUGGGUGUAGUUCAGUAGUAGAGCUCUUGCCUAGCAUGUGCAAGACCAUGGGUUCCAUUCCCAGCAAACACA
rnacentral:tRNA from 1 species